rnacentral:misc_RNA from 1 species
GAUGAAGAACGUAGCGAAAUGCGAUACUUGGUGUGAAUUGCAGAAUCCCGUGAACCAUCGAGUCUUUGAACGCAAGUUGCGCCCGAAGCCACUAGGCCGAGGGCACGCCUGCCUGGGCGUCACACGCCGUUGCCCCCCCAUCUACUCCUUCGGGAUUGCGGGGGGGCGGAUGAUGGCCUCCCGUGCGCCUAGCCGCGCGGUUGGCAUAAAUACCAAGUCCUCGGCGACGCACGCCACGUCAAUCGGUGGUUGCGAAACCUCGGUUGCCCGUCGUGUGCGUUCGUCGCGCAUCGAGGGCUCGAAAAAAUGCUCGGCUCCGGCUGGGCUUUCAACGCGACCCCAGGUCAGGCGGGGUUACCCGCUGAAUUUAAGCAUAUCAAUAAGCGGAGGA